AGGGCACGUGGGGGAUGUCUAGGCGCCAGGAGGCGAAGAAGGGCGUGGCAGACUGCGAUAAGCCCGGUGGAGCUGUCAAACGAGCGUUGAGACCGGGAUACCCGAAUUACCGCACGCUCAAUCCAUAGGCGUGCGGAGCGAACCCGGGGAACUGAAACAUCUCAGUACCCGGAGGAAAAGAAAGCAAACGCGACUCCGUCAGUAGCGGCGAGCGAACGCGGACCAGCCCAAACCAGCCGGACUCGUCCGGCUGGGGUUGUAGGACCGGCCAAGAGAACGUUUAGUACUCUAGUCGAACACUCUGGAAUGGGUGACCACAGAAGGUGAAAGUCCUGUAGACGACAGGGGAAAGACGUUCGGUCGGCUCCUGAGUAAGACCGAACACGGGAAAGUCGGUCUGAAGCAGCGGGGCCCAUCCCGCAAGGCUAAGUACUCCCUGGCGACCGAUAGCGAACCCAGUAGCGCGAGCGAAAGAUGGGAAGAACCCCGCUAAGGGGAGGAUAGUGAACCUGAAACCACGUGCCUACAAGCGGUCGGAGCCCUGUGGGGGCAACCCCCGGGUGACGGCGUGCCUUUUGCAUAAUGAUCCGGCGACUUACCGUCGUCAGCGAGGUUAAGCCGUUCUGCGGCGGAGCCAGAGCGAAAGCGAGUCUGAACAGGGCGUUUGGUUGGCGGCGGUAGACGCGAAACCACGUGAUCUACGCAUGGGCAGGAUGAAGUGGGGGUAAUACCCCAUGGAGGUCCGAACACACCAGUGUUGAAAAACUGGGUGAUGACCUGUGUGGAGGAUUGAAAGUAUCAUCAAACGUGGAGAUAGCUCGUUCUCUCCGAAAUAACUUUAGGGUUAACGUCGUGGUAGUAGGCAGAGGGGGUAGAGCGACUGAAUUCGACAGGGGGCCUACCCGGCUACCCUUCGAAACCAAACUCCGAAUACCUCUGUACCUAGCUGCGGCAGCUAGACGGCGAGGGAUAAGCUUCGUCGUCGAGAGGGGAACAACCCAGACCGCCCGCUAAGGUCCCCCAAGUACGCUCAGUGCGAAAGGAAGUUGGACUCCCCAGACAGCCAGGAUGUUGGCUUAGAAGCAGCCACCAUUUCAAAAGUGCGUAAUAGCUUACUGGUCGAGGAGUCCUGCGCCGAUAAUGAACGGGACUAAGCGUACUACCGAAGCGGCGGGUGGACUGUGGGAUUAAUCCUGGCAGUCCACGGUAGGAGAGCGUCGCCCACCGGGUGAAGGGGUACGGACAACGAGCCCUGGACGGUGGGGGAGUGAUAAUGCCGGAACGAGUAACGCUAAAACAGGUGAGAAUCCUGUUCGCCGAAAGCCUAAGGUUUCCUGGGGAAGGUAAAUCCGCCCAGGGUUAGUCGGACCCUAAGACGAGGCCCAAAGGCGUAGUCGAUGGACGGCCGGUUAAUAUUCCGGCACCAUCCGCGUAGGCUCGAAGCUUCUUGUGACGCUGGCCUGAAGAGGAGCGGCCGGCUAGACGGGGCCGUCCCGCAAGGGCGAGGGCAGAUACGAUCCCGAAGUCCUCGGACGGACAGCCAAGAAAAACCAAGAAGCUACAAAGCGGAUGCCCGUACUAAAACUGACACAGGUAGGCGGGAUGAAGAUUCUCAGGCGCUCGAGAGAACGCUCGUGAAGGAACUCGGCAAAUUAACCCCGUAACUUCGGGAGAAGGGGUGCCCUUGCGGGUGUCAGAGCCUGCGGGGGCCGCAGUGAAAGGGAUCUGGCGACUGUUUACUAAAAACACAGGUCUCUGCCAACUCGUAAGAGGAUGUAUAGAGACUGACGCCUGCCCGGUGCCGGUAAGUUAAGGAAGAGGGUUAGCGGGUUCACCCGCGAAGCUCGCAACCGAAGCUCCGGUAAACGGCGGCCGUAACUAUGACGGUCCUAAGGUAGCGAAGUUCCUUGUCGGGUAAGUUCCGACCUGCAUGAAUGGCGUAACGACCGGAUCACUGUCUCCACGAGCGACUCGGUGAAACUGUAGUUGUUGUGAAGAUGCAACAUACCCGCAACUAGACGGAAAGACCCCGUGAACCUUUACUGCAGCUUAGCAUUGGGUUUAGGCCCAGCAUGCGUAGCGUAGGUGGGAGGCUGUGAACCAGGGAUCCCGGUCUCUGGGGAGCCGCCCCUGAAACACCACCCUUGUUGUGCUUGAAUUCUAACUCCGUCCCGUGCAUCCGGGCGGUGGACAGUGCUAAGUGGGCAGUUUGACUGGGGCGGUCUCCUCCUAAAAGGUAACGGAGGAGUCCCAAGGUACCCUCAACCCGGUUGGCAAUCGGGUUUCGAGCGUAAAGGUACAAGGGUGCUUGACUGCGAGACCGAUAAGUCGAGCAGGUGCGAAAGCAGGGCUUAGUGAUCCGGCGGUGCUGGAUGGAAAGGCCGUCGCUCAACAGAUAAAAGGUACUCCGGGGAUAACAGGCUUAUCUCCCCUGAGCGUUCACAGCGGCGGGGAGGUUUGGCACCUCGAUGUCGGCUCAUCGCUUCCUGGGGGUGGAGAAGCUCCCAAGGGUUUGGCUGUUCGCCAAUGAAAGCGGUACGUGAGCUGGGUUUAGACCGUCGUGAGACAGGUCGGUCCCUAUCUGUUGCGGGCGGAGGAGACUUGCGCAGCUUUUUCCCUAGUACGAGAGGAUUGGGAAGGACGCACCGCUGGUGUGCCAGUUGUCGCGCUAGCGGCAACGCUGGGUAGCUAUGUGCGGCUCGGAUAAACGCUGAAGGCAUCUAAGCGUGAAACCCCCUGCAAGAUCAGGUCUCCUGUCCCUUCGGGACGAAGGCUCCUGGAAGACGACCAGGUCGAUAGGCCGGAAGUGUAUGUGUGGCAACACACGCAGCCGACCGGUACUAACAGCCGAACGCUUCGCCG
rnacentral:rRNA from 1 species